GACGAACGCUGGCGGCGUGCUUAACACAUGCAAGUCGAACGGACAGACAGAGAGCUUGCUCUCUUGAAGUUAGUGGCGAACGGGUGAGUAACGCGUAAUCAACCUGCCCUUCAGAGGGGGAUAACAACGGGAAACCGUUGCUAAUACCGCGCACGAUUCAUGAACGGCAUCGUUUAUGAAUGAAAGGUGGCCUCUAUGUAUAAGCUAUCGCUGAAGGAGGGGAUUGCGUCUGAUUAGCUAGUUGGAGGGGUAACGGCCCACCAAGGCAAUGAUCAGUAGCCGGUCUGAGAGGAUGAACGGCCACAUUGGGACUGAGACACGGCCCAAACUCCUACGGGAGGCAGCAGUGGGGAAUCUUCCGCAAUGGACGAAAGUCUGACGGAGCAACGCCGCGUGAGUGAUGAAGGUCUUCGGAUUGUAAAGCUCUGUUAAUCGGGACGAAAGAGUUCUGCGUGAAUAAUGCAGAAAAGUGACGGUACCGGAAUAGAAGGCCACGGCUAACUACGUGUCAGCAGCCGCGGUAA
rnacentral:rRNA from 1 species